GAGCUCGCUGUCGAAGCGGCAGUAGUUGCUGACGUCCUUGUCUCCUUUCAUCUGGUGGUACACAUCCGGGAAGAACUUUCUCAGGAACGACUCCAUCGACGUAACCCCACCUGUGCCAAAUGGGGAGAUAUAUGAAAACUAAAAAUUGAGCUAGCUAGCUACCACUACGUACUGCAUCAUCGAGCUAGUAGUGGCUGUGUGCAGAAGGUGCAGCGGAUGCAGCAACAGUCCCGGCACUUUUGAUAUGGUGAUGAACAAUACAUAAGCUGCUGAUCGAGCCGGAUCAAGCAGAUGGAGAGAUAAAUGAAAUGAAAAGUCAUGGCUAAUUUGUCAAGUCAAACAGAGGCAUGCAUGCAAAGUGCAUGAAUCAACUACUGCAUGCUGCUACUAAUAUAUGUAUAGUACUAUAUAUGCAAGCAAGAUUUUCAUCAAUCAUACAUGCAUAUGUACUAACUGAAUGGUACUGCUAGCAGCUGUAAGCUAGUAGCUGCUGCAGAGUACAUACAUACUCCGUACUCGAGAGUAGCACAAAAUAAAUAAUGGUUGGUGUCGGUUAGAUUUCCCCUGCUUGUGAUUUCUCUUCCAAGCAGUCCUACAUGGAAAUGGAAUUGAUUUGAUUGUAUA